GAUGAAGUAAAACGAAGAAGAAGCAGAGGAAAAGCAGAGACAAGAGAGACAGCUUCGACUUCCCCAAUUUGAUUCGAGCUUCGAUCUGGUGUAGUUGUGCCGAGUCUUCAAGCUUCUUCUUCUUCUUCUUCUUCAGCACCUGUAAAUUUGUAAGCAUAACAAAUGGAUACAAGUGAAGAUCAUUAUGAGGUCCUUGGUUUGCCAUCUGGAGAGGAAGGCGCUAAGUUUACAGAGAAAGAUAUUACUAAUGCAUACAGAAAAAAGGCUUUGAAGUUGCACCCUGACAAGAAUCCUGAUCCUGAUGCCCCAGCCAAAUUUCUGAAGCUCAAAUCGUCAUAUGAGAUACUCAAAGAUGAAAAGGCUAGGAAAUUGUUUGACGAGUUGCUUAAAGUUAAGAGACAGCAGCAACGCCGCCAUUUAGAACGCGAUGCUAAGCGACAGAGGAUGGUCUCUGAUCUUGAAGCAAGAGAACGAGCUGCCUUUGCUCCAGAUCAAUCUGCCAAAGAUAGAGAAGAAGAGGAGAGAAUUUCUAGGAAACUUGCAGAAGAGGUUGCGAGAAUACGUGCGAUGAAAGCGAAUAAAGGGGCGCAUACUGCUUCAGUUCCAAAACCUGAAAAUGGGAGAGUUGGGAAGGAGGGUGCCGGUAGUACUGAGCAAGGGCUGGAUAAGGAAAGGGUGCUUAAAGUUACAUGGGAAAAGGUUGGUGAAGAUUAUACCGCAGAGAGGUUGAAAAACUUGUUCUCCAGGUUUGGUGAGGUGGAAGAUGUUCUCAUCAAGUCUAAGAAGAAAGGCUCAGCACUGGUAGUAAUGGCAACUAAAGAUGCAGCUGUUGCCUCAACAAGAACUAUGACUGGUAACAUGUCUAAUCCAUUGUUGGUUAAACCUCUUCAACCAGUUGCUGCGCCAGUGGCUCCACCUACCCAGAAAUCUGGUGUACCUGAUCGCCUUAAUAAUUUGGUUGGCUCUGGGUAUCAAUCAUUUGAGGAUGCUGUUUUGAAGAAACUUGCACAGGCUGCCCAGAAGCAAAAGUGAUAUUCAGAACUUCAGGAGCAUGAAAGGAUGGUUGAUAUCUCAAAUGCAAUGUCCAUGAUCUCAGUGGUUUCGGUGUAUAGUAAACUGAUGUGAAGUUGUGAAGUUUCUCUCUCAACUACCUGAAGAUAGCGUGAAGAGAGAACUCUUGGUGUUAACAGUGUUGAAUAGCCCACUACACUUCAGUAAUCACUUCCUAUGUAUUGGUGAUUGUGCUUUACAUUUUCAUAUAUACGAAAGAAACUUUAUUGACCAUUACCAAUUGUACCGGGGAAGGUGACCUCCUCUUAAAUCCCUCGAUUUGCAUCUCAUCAAUUUAGGGUUCUAAUUGUAUUCAU